rnacentral:lncRNA from 1 species
GAUGGAUUCUGGUUAUUGUUUGAUGAUGAUAUUGUUGAUGUAAGUAUUGGUUACCAUAGCAACUGUCUUACAAACAAAUAUGUAUGGAGUUAUUCUCUUUCUUACUUUAUAGAAGCAAUAUGUAUUAGAAAUGAAUUUGUUGAUUUAGGAUGGUUAACUAAUGUUACUGGUACUUCAAUUACAUUCAAGGUAUUCUAGCUCUGCAUGAGAAUUAUUUCACUACAAAAUAUUUUGUAUAUACAGUACUUAACCAUUCUCAAAACUGCAAGUAAUAAGAUAGCAGCAAUCAGGAAUUUAUAAUUCUUAGAAACAAAACACAGUCAUUUUUCAUUAGAAUAAGUAUCUUGCUCCAAGCCGAGCAUACUUUAUGCCAUGCAAUAUUUGAAAACUGUUCUGUAGUCACAGAAAAAUACAUUUAGCAACUGCUUUUCCUUUUUUUUUAAAUCUCAAUUUUGCAUUUAUUCUAUAGCAUAUUCACUAAAAUUGGUCAAAAUACAGCAUUACAAUUAUAUUUUCAAAAUACAGCAUUACAGUAAUAUUCUCAAAAUACAGCAUUACAGUUAUAUUCUCAAAAUACAGCAUUACAUUUAUAUUCUCAAAAUACAGCACUACAGUUAUAUUCUCAAUCCACUUAGAUUCACAGGUUUCCUGUUGUCCAAUGAAAUUCUUAAUUUAAAAUUUGUUUUCAUUACAGAAAAUUGACCCCUCUACAAUAGAAGACUUUUAUGGACUGCCCUCAGAUCUACAGAAAAAUUCAGAGACAGGAUAUAUUUUGUUUUAUCAAUCAAGAGAAUGAAUAAAUCAAUACAUUCUUGUACAGAUUCUGACGACUUUUUAUGAAUGAAACGAUCUGUGUUUAAAAUGCACCUGUAACUGGGACUAACUCCUAUAUUGCAAUUAGAAAUAACUUAUUUGGAUGAAAAUAAUGCUGUUUCAACACAGUGAAAAAUGUUACUGUAUUCCUGUUAGUAGGAAUAUUGGGAAUUUAUUUCUUGCAAUGAUAUUAAAAUUGCAAUAAAUGAUCUAUAAAACAAUUAUUUAUUUCACGUUAACUCUCAUUGGUUGAUAGAUAUAAUAUGAAACACCCUCUAUUUUCUUUUUCUCUGAUAUUUUCCACUUUCUAUUUAUGUGAUGUAAAUACAAAUAUAAAAUCUCAUGGAAUUGAAAUUUGUAAAAUAGAACAAAAAGUUAUCCUUUAAAAAUAGAGUUAAAUCAUGAUAUAAUCUGAACCCAAUUGUGUUGAUACUCCACUGUGAUGUCAUUACUGAUAUUGGACCAAAGUAAACAUUACAUUUUGUUUUCUGCAUGUGUUAAAGUGAAAUAUAAAUGUUUGACUGACAUCAGCAUGGUCUGGUGUUAAAGUGAAAUAUAAAUGUUUGACUGACAUCAAAGUGAAAUAUAAAUGUUUGACUGACAUCAGCAUGGUCUUGUGUUAAAGUGAAAUAUAAAUGUUUGACUGACAUCAGCAUGGUCUUGUGUUUUGAAUAUGAUUUGAGUGUUGUUGUUUCUCAUAUUAAAAAAUGGAAAAAAAAUCUAAAACAUAUGAAUCAAUAGGAUUGAAGUUAUUUCUAGCAUGUAGGAAGUUUAUACAUUGGAAUACAAGAUACUGUACUGUAAAUUCAGAAACCUUUCCGUGUAUUCUUUAUUGUGAUAAAUGAACAAUGAACAAAUACAAGAGAUUUAUAAUUACUAUUCCAGGUAACGUUGAAGACAAAAAUGUCUUCAAAAAUUAAAAUGCAGAGUUUAUAGUAUUUCUGAAGCUAUUGGAUCUAAAAUUCAACAAUGAUAUAAUCUUAAAAAUUCUGAAUUUACAGUAACAGAUAUAGGAGAGACUUCUAUUCUGUCUUGUAUAUUUCUGAAGGUACUAUUUUAUACAUUGCAAUUUUUUGCGAGACUCAAAUUCAAAUUGCUAAAUCAUGCCUCCUCUUUUGUAGAAAAAAAAGAAAUAUUUUCAAACACUAUAGAAUGUGCAAUUUUAGAUUUU